GACAGCCGCCCAGGUGCCCCUGAAAUUGUGUUUUCUUGUAGACAUACUCCAAUAGCUACAGAAAGCAGCUCCCUGUUGAGGAUGAUAGAAAUUGUUGCUUUACACGGACUCUAAGAUUGCCAACGCCUCUCCCUCUGGCUAGAGCCAGAUAGAGAUCCCCUGCUGACUACCAGGAAAUGGGGAGUGCUGUAGAUCGAAUUCCACGCUUACAUAAUACGACAGCAAGAUCAGUUGCGUGCACAUGAUCGCCAGGGUUCCCCUUUCCCCUGACCCUUGAAACGGAGCAGAGUUCCUGAAAACAUUCCAGUUGAAAUGAUAAGGCCAGUUCGUAUGGUCCCUGGAAGAAAGCCGUUGCAGUAACAGUCUUUUGGCCCAGGUGGUCUUGUUUUGAGGACAAUACAGAAUAUUUUUAAGUGUACUAUAUAUAAAGGGAUGAACAAUACUGGAUCCAUUGGGAGUUGACUUCGCCUGGUGUCUACAGAGACAUCUAGUUCAGCCGCACCCCGUAAAUAAAAAACACUUCUUGCUUGGUUUUGCUACAGAAUUACGACCGCCAUGUUUAUUUUACCUCAUGUGAACUUUCAAGUUGUUGUUCAAUUUAUGAAGCACUUUAAAAAGAAAAAAAGAUCACAUCGAAAGAAAACAAUGAUGAAGCACAGACAUGGAAGACUUCCAGCCAAAAAAUGUGUCUUGACCAGACUUCACCAGAAGAAAUUCCAUUGACCUAAUUCAGAAAGGGAUCGGCUAAUAUUCCCAAAUUAUGGAUGCCUCUGGGGGCUGGUGUCAUCCAAAACUGUUUUUUUAUAACGUCCUGGCAUUUGUUAAAGCAAAUCAUUGAAAGGAGCAUCUAUGGGGAUGAUUCUGUGGCUUCUCUUAUAAUGAGUAGAAGUCCACGUUGCAAGACUUUGCUCCUUAAACAGAUCUGAGAUGGUUUUCUUUUCUUCCUUUUCUUCUAUUGUGUUUUUAAACUUUUGAUGUAUUGUUUUACCCUGUUUUGGUUCCAGGAACAUCCAUGUUCAUGAGGAGUGGGUGUCUUUUAUCCAGCACCCUUACAGUGAUGCUGAGCACGGUUGUCCUUCCCCAACCUGUGGAGACAAGGUGUUGGCACAAUCUUGAGGAUGACGUUCCAAUCCUACUUAACAAUGGUGUUGCUUAACCUUCUCUGUGCCAGGCACCUAGGACUGGCUCCCUGAACGCUCUUUCCCUCACCACGCUGUUAGAUACAGUAAAUCUCCAACUGGGUUCCACGAUAGCCUAUUAAAACACAUUCAUGUUGCAGAGCC